AACAGUACUAGCACGUUGAAUACACCAGUUACCAAUAGAUCACUGAAGUUAAGCAACGUUGAGCGUGGUCGGUAUCCGGAUGGGUGACAAUCUGAACAUUUUUGGGUGCUACUC
rfam:Asian citrus Psyllid, Diaphorina citri - Florida Strain, whole genome shotgun sequence.